rnacentral:rRNA from 1 species
AUACGGGGGGGGCAAGCGUUGUUCGGAAUUACUGGGCGUAAAGGGCUCGUAGGUGGCCAACUAAGUCAGACGUGAAAUCCCUCGGCUUAACCGGGGAACUGCGUCUGAUACUGGAUGGCUAGAGAUUGGGAGAGGGAUGCGGAAUUCCAGGUGUAGCGGUGAAAUGCGUAGAUAUUUGGAGGAACACCGGUGGCGAAGGCGGCAUCCUGGACCAACACUGACGCUGAGGAGCGAAAGCCAGGGGAGCAAACG